AGAACUGUGCCUGAAUGCCUAAGGACCACUUUGAUAGAGUGAAUCAUAGGGGUUAAAACCCCCUCAGUUCUU
rnacentral:tRNA from 1 species